rnacentral:lncRNA from 1 species
AACUUCAGUGUCAGUAAAUAAGUGGAGUAGGCCCCAGAGUUAUAUGAACACAUUGCCUAUGAAGAAUAGAUGCCCGAUGUCUCUAUUGUUCUUUCUUUUGUACACGUUUAUGGGAUGCUCUAGAAUGCAGUGACUUAUGAGGACGUGCAUGUGAACUUCACUCGAGAGGAGUGGGCUCUGCUGGAUCCUUCUCAGAAGAAGCUCUACAAAGAUGUGAUGCUGGAGACCUACAGGAACCUCAACGCUAUAGGAUUUAAUUGGGACGAGAAACAUAUUCAAGAACAUUGUCCAAGUUCUAGAAGACACAGAAGGUAUCCUUGAAGAUGAAAACCAACCCAUAAUGAUGGGGUAACAGCAUGAAUAUAAGCAAAGUGAUAAAAAUCUUAAGAUCUGAUUCCUCUUUAUAUUUAGACAAAUAGUACCAUUAAAUCAUACAGAUGAAAGUAUUCAUCAGUUUGAUAAAGCUUUCACAUGUGCCAAUUUUUUUCUCAGGCAUGAAAGAAGUCAGAGUGCAGAGAAAGCGUCUGAAUAUACUCAAUGUGAUAAAAUCUUUUUUUUAUGCUCACAGUCAUGCUCAAAGGCAUGAAAGAAUUCAUACAGAAAUGAACCCCCUUGGAAUUAUUCAAUUUGUUGAAACCUUUGCUCAACAUCGUCUCCAACUUCAUAAAGAGCACAAACUGGAAAGAAACUCUAUGAAUGGAAGCAAUGUAGUAAAGCCUUUGAAGAUCAAGUCAUCUUAAAAGCUAUGAAGGAAUUCAUACGGGAGAGAAACCUUAUGAAUGUCAUCAGUGUGAAAAAGCCUUUUCAAGUCACAGUAAUCUCCUACAACCUAAACGGACACAUACUGGAGAGAAAUGCUAUGAAUGUGAUCUGUGUGGUAAAGCCUUUUCACAACAUAGUCGGCUUAAAAGGCAUGGAAGAAUUCAUACUGGAGAGAAACCCUACAGAUGUAAUAACUGUGAGAAAGCCUUUUCACAACAAAUUCACCUCCAGUCACAUAGAAGAAUUCAUACUGGAGAGAAACCCUACAAAUAUAAUAAAUGUGAGAAAGCCAUUUUACAACAUUAUAACCUCCAAAGUCAUAAAAGAAUACAUAUUGGAUAGAAACCCAAUGAAUGUGGUCUGUGUGUGAAAGCCUGUAUAAGUCAAUGGUAUCUUCAAAAGCAUAAAAAAAAAUUCAUACUGUAGAGAAAGCUUAUGAACAUAUAUAAUAUGGUAAAAUCUACAAAUAUCCAUAGUCUUAAUCAUCAUGCACAUAUUUGUAUUGGCAAGAAAUCCUCUGAAUAUUAACUGUGUGAUAAAACCUAUUUCAACACACUUAUCUCCUAAUGCAUCAAUGAGCACAUACUGGGGAGACAGAGGUGUGAGGAACUUAUGAAUGUAUACAAUGUGGUAAAAGUCCAUGCUGCAGGGAAGCCCUACAAAUGUAGUCAUUCUGAUAAAAUUUUGCACUUCACAGUAUGUUUCUGUAAGAGGAAAGUCAUUAGCUUAUACUAAAUCUGUUAAUGUUUGCAUGUCACAGUAAUUUUUCAACUUCUAAGAACUCAUAAGUAGGGCAGUCUAUGACUCUGAUGGCCUUGGUACGAUCUUUAGCCAGUCCACUUACAUUAAGUUACACAAAAUUAUUUAUUCCUGAGAAAAUCUCUAGCAAGUGUCAACUAUCUGCUCAAAUAUGAUGAUGUGUCUUUUUUUUUUUAACAUGUAAAUUCAUAGGUUCAAAAGCCCUUUCAAUUUCAUUGAUAAGGUACUGGUUUAAAUUUCACAGCUCAUUAAAUUUCACAGUCCAUUAAAUAACUCAUUCAUGUGUCAAACUUUGGGUGCAUAUUUGUGUGUUUUCUGUUAAUAUGAUAAAACAUUUUAAGUACUGUAGAAAAAUCCCAAACCAUGGUUUCCACCCCAUCUUUGGCCAUUUGUUUUUCAGGUAAAAGACAUACAGCCUUUAUACUAAGCCUUGAUCAGCACAUGAGCUUGGCAGAUAUUUAUCCUCUAUGCUAUUAUGUCUAUUUCCCAGCCAAUGAUUUCAUCCUAGAAUUUGCCUUGCUUCAUCUAGGCUACGCUUUGUCUGUGGCUAUGUGUGAUUGUGUGAAUGCUGAUUUCCAAGAAAAUUAAGCUGUUGUAUAGCAGAAAAUAUAGGAAGAUGUAAAACCCUGACCUGGUUUCAGGGAAUAAACUUUUCUUAAUUGCUUGGCCAUGUGUCUAGGCAUGUAAAUAUUUUACAGUGUUUUACAUCAUCUUGAUGUCAGAAAAUUGAAAACACUUAUACAAGAGAAAAACCCUAUGUAUGUUGAUGAUCUCAUUAUAGACUGUAGACACCACAGUUGUUUUUGAUAUUAAGGAAAAAACUCUGUUUCAUUUCUUCUUCAUCAUGGCCUUGAAAGAAGUAAAUUAUUUCCCAUGUUCAGACAAUUGUGGAGUAGCCUUGAAUGGUUGGUGUGACUUGCUUUGACCUUUGCUGCUGGGUGCCUUGGCGGAGUGCUGGCGAGCUAUUGAGUCUCAUCAUGAUAAAAUGCUGCUCAUUGAAAAAUAAAAUAAAAGAAUUGACCUCACUGACAACAUCGUGUGGAAGAGUGGAUCUCUGAAGACCUGACCUGUCUGAGUUACUUGAUCACUAAACCUCCAGUAGGGGAGAUGCUAAGUUCCUGAGGCCCAGCUGUGUGGUCCAAACUAAAGAGGGACAUGGGCAGGCCUGGCAGUCAGCAGCACCAGAGGGAGAUAACCUGCAGAUACUUCUAGGAUUCUCCUGAGACAAGGCCAUUAGUAACUCUGAGGGAGACUACAGUCCUACCAUGGUGAAGGUGAGGACCAAUGACCCCAGACCAGAAAGGUCACAUUGGCAGCACUAUCAGAGGGCAGUGGAAGAUGCAGCAGUAGGGGUAACCAUGACUACUGUGUCUCAGAUAACAGUUACUGGGGAUGGUUGCCAUGCCUCUCUAACCUGUUCCUAUAACUAACAUCUAAAUACCAAGCUUCCAGUUCCCUGGAUUAAUUUAUUCACUUAUUUAUUAA